rnacentral:rRNA from 1 species
GACGAACGCUGGCGGCGUGCUUAACACAUGCAAGUCGAACGGAAAGGCCCUGCUUUUGUGGGGUGCUCGAGUGGCGAACGGGUGAGUAACACGUGAGUAACCUGCCCUUGACUUUGGGAUAACUUCAGGAAACUGGGGCUAAUACCGGAUAGGAGCUCCUGCUGCAUGGUGGGGGUUGGAAAGUUUCGGCGGUUGGGGAUGGACUCGCGGCUUAUCAGCUUGUUGGUGGGGUAGUGGCUUACCAAGGCUUUGACGGGUAGCCGGCCUGAGAGGGUGACCGGCCACAUUGGGACUGAGAUACGGCCCAGAGUCGUACGGGAGGCAGCAGUGGGGAAUAUUGCACAAUGGGCGGAAGCCUGAUGCAGCAACGCCGCGUGCGGGAUGACGGCCUUCGGGUUGUAAACCGCUUUCGCAUGUGACGAAGCGUGAGUGACGGUAAUGGGUAAAGAAGCACCGGCUAACUACGUG